rnacentral:rRNA from 1 species
GCUGGCGGCGUGCUUUACACAUGCAAGUCGAGCGAGGCGUGUAGCAAUACACAGUCGAGCGGCGAACGGGUGAGUAACGCGUGGAUGACCUGCCCUUCAGCGGGGAAUAACCCGGGGAAACUCGGGCUAAUACCGCAUACGAUCGAGAGAUGAAAGGGGCCCGCAAGGGUUCCACUGAAGGAGGGGUCCGCGUCCGAUUAGCUAGUUGGUGGGGUAAUGGCCUACCAAGGCGACGAUCGGUAGCCGGCCUGAGAGGGUGAUCGGCCACACUGGAACUGAGACACGGUCCAGACUCCUACGGGAGGCAGCAGUGGGGAAUUUUGCGCAAUGGGCGAAAGCCUGACGCAGCAACGCCGCGUGGAGGAUGAAGGUCUUUGGAUUGUAAACUCCUGUCAGCGGGGAAAAAGCGAGGUGACCUCAUACGUCAUCGAGUUGAUUGUACCCGCAGAGGAAGCCCCGGCUAACUCUGUGCCAGCAGCCCGCGGUAAUACAGAGGGGGCAAGCGUUAUUCGGAAUUAUUGGGCGUAAAGGGCGCGUAGGCGGCUU